rnacentral:tRNA from 1 species
UGGCUCAGUGGUAGAGCGCUUGCCUUUCAUGCAUGAGGCCUUGGGUUCGAUUCCUCA